rnacentral:rRNA from 1 species
GAUGAACGCUAGCGGCAGGCCUAAUACAUGCAAGUCGAGGGGUAGUGGAAGCUUGCUUCCAUGAGACCGGCGCACGGGUGCGUAACGCGUAUGCAACCUACCUCUAUCUGGGGGAUAGCCCGGAGAAAUCCGGAUUAACACCGCAUAAAAUCACAGUACGGCAUCGUACAAUGAUCAAAUAUUUAUAGGAUAGGGAUGGGCAUGCGUGUCAUUAGUUAGUUGGCGGGUAACGGCCCACCAAGACCACGAUGACUAGGGGAUCUGAGAGGAUGGCCCCCCACACUGGUACUGAGACACGGACCAGACUCCUACGGGAGGCAGCAGUAAGGAAUAUUGGUCAAUGGAGGCAACUCUGAACCAGCCAUGCCGCGUGCAGGAAGACGGCCCUCUGGGUUGUAAACUGCUUUUAUCGGGAAUAACCUGCUUACGUGUAAGUAGCUGAAUGUACCGAAGGAAUAAGGAUCGGCUAACUCCGUGCCAGCAGCCGCGGUAAU